rnacentral:misc_RNA from 1 species
GGGCACACACAUCUUGUGCGUUUUGUGUUAUAAAAUAAUGCGCACACGCGCGCACGGACACACAUAACUAUAUAACUUAGUCGUGGAAGUAGUGGGAUCAUCGAAGCAGCUAUAUGGUAUAAGAGAAAGAGAGAGAGGAAAGAAAACAAACGGCGCGCAUCUUAACGGCGGCACAGCAGCAGAUAUUUCAUGCACCAGCGCCGAAGACGUAACGCGCGCAUAUAAUAUAACAGAGACUCGUCGGACACCGUCCAGUGGAUAGUGUCUCGCGCGUAUUUUUUUUUUUUUUUAAUCACACACGCGUUCGUCUGUUUAUAGUAAUUUGUUGUGGUAAUGCGAGCGUGAGUGAGUUAGUGAUUGUUUAUCGUUGAUAAUUUUUUCAUUCAUUGAUAAGCAGGGCGUGUAUUGUAUCAAGAUUAUAUUAAUUCAUCAACGAUUGAAAGUAGCGGCCACAGAAACAUUUUUCUCGCCGUCGUUCCGUAGACCAUGACGAAGGAAAAAGAAGAACAGCAAAAGCAGGAGAUGCAGAAGAAGCAGCAGCAGCAGUCACCAGAAGCACCAGCAACUGUAGCUCAGGCGUCCGAGCAGCAGCAGCAGCUGAGCGACGAUGAGCACGAUCCUCAUCAUCACCAUCAUCAUCAUCGUCACAAUUUAAAAUCGCAACCGAGCCCACUCGCGAUCGCCGCGAGCGUAUUGACGCAUUUGCUAUUGUUGCUGCCGGUUUUGUACAUCGUGGGAUUGGCUUUCGAAAGCUACAGCUUCUUUUCAUGGCAUCCGAUAUGCAUGUCCCUCGGCGCCGGCCUCGUUAUCAUGGAAGCCGUCUACUCCAUAUCCGGCGUGGCGUUAAUAUCGAAGAACUUCGGGCGUACGCUGCGAGUCCGACUGCACUGGAUGCUGCAUCUGCUCGGGAUAUCGCUCCUCGUGGCUGGCCUGGUGAUCGUCAUCCUGAGCAAGAACGACGAGGGUCGGGAUCACUUCGUCACGACGCACGGCCAGCUGGGCCUCUCGACCAUCGUGAUCACCUGCGCGGUGGCCUGCUUCGGUAUGCUGGCCAACAACGCCAAGUGGUUCUAUCCGCGGGUGCGGCCGGUUCUCCUCAAGGUCGUGCACUCGUACGCCGGCAUCGGACUCACGGUGCUGCUGCUGGCCACCGUGAUCAACGGCACUUACAACAGGUGGUGGACCAAUAUCGGCGCGGGCGAGACCGGGCGCGAUCUCGUGUUCGCCUCGCUGUUCUUCGCCGGACUGCUGGUGCUGUUCAAGCCGAUAAUCGGCGCAGCGGCGAGGACUCGAGUACUCAUGAAGCCGAGGCCUGCUGCCAAUAAGGUGGUGGCGCCGGUCAAAGAUACCGCCGAUAGUACUUGAUUCGUGUGCCGCGAUGUUAUUCGAUUUUUAUUUUUUUUUCAUUCAUUCCAAGGUAUAAUUCAUUUUUCGUUACACUAACACGAGAAAAGAAAAACGUUCGAAGCUGUGCUACAUACACGUAGAGAGAUUAAAAAAAAGAAGACGCGAACUGAAUAAAUAGAGCGUUUUUAUAUCGAAUUUAAGUCCUAACUCGUCGUCCUAUUAGUGGAGGCGAGAUGAUCAAAUAUCCAAAGAUGAUUAUCAAUUGAGCAGUAUAGAUACCAAUAAAAUAAUUAUAUAUAGUUGCUGGAAUAAUUGUAAUAACGACCGUUAAAAGACAAGUAUGUACCGUUUACGAUUUAAAACUUUAUUGAACCUGAUAUAAAUGCUCGGCAUUGAUGAUUGCCCUGAAAAUUACCAUUUAAGAUGUUUUUAAAUACAUUAUCAUUGAUUAGGUUGUUUAUGGUGAUUUUUUUGUUGUUGCGAUUAUAUUAUCAUUAUUAAGAAGACUGUUAAUGCCAUGAAAAUCAUAAUUUAACGUAAAUGCGAUAAUUUCACUUUUUGUCUUCAACACUAGGUGGCAAGUACCUUUCCCUGUAAAUCUGCAAGUAGUAAAGGCAAAAUAAUUGUAUAAGUCAAAGCAAGCUUUUGAAAAAUUAAAUGUUUCAUUAAUUCUUCAUCAAGAACCUUUUUUAAUGGUCUAAAACUAGCCAUUAAAUGUUGAGCAUUUCUACCAGGCACAAUGGCCAUUCUUUUGGA